GAAAUGCGAUAAGUAAUGCGAAUUGCAGAAUUCAGUGAAUCAUCGAAUCUUUGAACGCACAUUGCGCCCGCCAGUAUUCUGGCAGGCAUGCCUGUCUGAGCGUCAUUUCAACCCCUCGCACCCGGCUCGCGCCUGCGCGGCCCCGGGGCGGUGUUGGAGAUCGGCCGCCCCUCGCGGGGUGGCCGGCUCCCAAAUCCAGUGGCGACCACGCCGUAGCCUCCUCUGCGUAGUAGUUUAACUCACCUCGCGGGUCGGAGAGCGGCGCCGGUCCUGCCGUGAAACCCCCAACUUUCCAAGGUUGACCUCAGAUCAGGUAGGAAUACCCGCUGAACUUAA
rnacentral:misc_RNA from 1 species